AACGAACGCUGGCGGCAGGCCUAAAACAUGCAAGUCGAACGAACCUUCGGGUUAGUGGCGCACGGGUGAGUAACACGUGGGAAUGUACCUCUGGGUGCGGAACAACGUAGGGAAACUUACGCUAAUACCGCAUAAUGUCUACGGACCAAAGAUUUAUCGCCCAGAGAUCAGCCCGCGCUAGAUUAGGUAGUUGGUGGGGUAACGGCCUACCAAGCCUACGAUCUAUAGCUGGUCUGAGAGGAUGAUCAGCCACACUGGAACUGAGACACGGUCCAGACUCCUACGGGAGGCAGCAGUUAGGAAUAUUGGACAAUGGGGGCAACCCUGAUCCAGCCAUGCCGCGUGUGUGAAGAAGGCCUUAGGGUUGUAAAGCACUUUCGUCCGCGAAGAUAAUGACAGUAACGGAAGAAGAAGCUCCGGCUAAAUUCGUG
rnacentral:rRNA from 1 species